rnacentral:rRNA from 1 species
UACGAAGGGGGCUAGCGUUGCUCGGAAUCACUGGGCGUAAAGCGCACGUAGGCGGCUUUCUAAGUCAGAGGUGAAAUCCUGGAGCUCAACUCCAGAACUGCCUUUGAUACUGGAAAGCUUGAGUUCGGGAGAGGUGAGUGGAACUGCGAGCGUAGAGGUGAAAUUCGUAGAUAUUCGCAAGAACACCAGUGGCGAAGGCGGCUCACUGGCCCGAUACUGACGCUGAGGUGCGAAAGCGUGGGGAGCAAACAGG